GGGUUCUUGGUGUCGGUUGGUGACAGCGGAGGGAUCAUUACCGAGUUUACAACUCCCAAACCCCUGUGAACAUACCACUUGUUGCCUCGGCGGAUCAGCCCGCUCCCGGUAAAACGGGACGGCCCGCCAGAGGACCCCUAAACUCUGUUUCUAUAUGUAACUUCUGAGUAAAACCAUAAAUAAAUCAAAACUUUCAACAACGGAUCUCUUGGUUCUGGCAUCGAUGAAGAACGCAGCAAAAUGCGAUAAGUAAUGUGAAUUGCAGAAUUCAGUGAAUCAUCGAAUCUUUGAACGCACAUUGCGCCCGCCAGUAUUCUGGCGGGCAUGCCUGUUCGAGCGUCAUUUCAACCCUCAAGCACAGCUUGGUGUUGGGACUCGCGUUAAUUCGCGUUCCUCAAAUUGAUUGGCGGUCACGUCGAGCUUCCAUAGCGUAGUAGUAAAACCCUCGUUACUGGUAAUCGUCGCGGCCACGCCGUUAAACCCCAACUUCUGAAUGUUGACCUCGGAUCAGGUAGGAAUACCCGCUGAACUUAAGCAUAUCAAUAAGCGGAGGAA
rnacentral:rRNA from 1 species